rnacentral:tRNA from 3 species
GCCGGAGUGGCGGAAUUGGCAGACGCGCCGGAUUCAAAAUCCGGUGAGAGCAAUCUCAUGUGGGUUCGAGUCCCACCUCCGGUA